UGACCCUUCUUAAGCCGAGGGUCACCUAGCCAACUGACGUUGUUAGUGAACCGAAUUUGUUCACACUUAUUUGAGCCAAUCUUACUUAUUGAGAUUGGCUUUUUUUCU
rnacentral:sRNA from 4 species